rnacentral:lncRNA from 1 species
UCACAGGUGCUCCCUAACACUAGGAGCAGGCACAUCCCCAACCUAGCAGCCUCUGUCCCCUGAUAGGGGAACCAUGCAAUGUCCAAAACCAGAAUGUCUGCAUUUUUGGGUUUGGUUACAUACAGCCAAGGCCUGUGAACACAUACCUUGUGUUCUGUACUCCUGAUAUAGGUAAAAUCUAACUCCCUCCAGAUGCUAACGUGCAUCAAGCAAAGGAGGACACAAAAAAGGCUUGUGCCCGUCCUGGGUCAUCCCAGGUCCUGGUUCUGCUCAUCCUGUCCGUCUUGGGUGCUCUCAGAUCCUGAUCCUGCUCAAGUCUGUACCUGGCUGUUUCAGGUUUCGGUUCUCAUUGUGACUGGUGGCCACUCCUCAAGGUUGCUUAGGCUAAUGGCUUUGGACUAUAGUUGCCCAGCCACAUACCCCCUGUCCCCUCUUGGCCACACUCAGCACACAUACUGUGGUCAAACACUAUAACUGAGUUUCCACAUACACCUGGCCUGGCCCCAGAAGUGGGGCCCUCAGGAGUUGCCUACCUUCUUGAGAGUUCUUUCCUGGGAGCCUGCCAGAUGACUUCUCUACACAUUACUAUGGCCCACACUGCUGCCCAGUGCCCACUGCUUCCUGCUUGCCUCCCCUAGACUGCCCAUACCACAAGCUUCUGCUCCCAUGGGAUCCAUGUAUUCUUCAGAACCAGGACACAAGCUCAAGGUUUAUCCCAGUGCCUCACUUAUUGCCCCUGUAGGUGCUCAGUGCAUACGUAGAGUAAAUCCAU